rnacentral:rRNA from 1 species
AGAGUUUGAUCAUGGCUCAGAUUGAACGCUAGCGGGAUGCCUUACACAUGCAAGUCGAACGGCAGCGCGGACUUCGGUCUGGCGGCGAGUGGCGAACGGGUGAGUAAUGUAUCGGAACGUGCCCAGUAGCGGGGACAACCACUCGAAAGAGUGGCUAAUACCGCAUACGCCCGUACGGGGAAGGGGGGAUCGCAAGACCUCUCACUAUUGGAGCGGCCGAUAUCGGAUUAGCUAGUUGGUGGGGUAAAGGCCUACCAAGGCGACGAUCCGUAGCUGGUUUGAGAGGACGACCAGCCACACUGGGACUGAGACACGGCCCAGACUCCUACGGGAGGCAGCAGUGGGGAAUUUUGGACAAUGGGGGAAACCCUGAUCCAGCCAUUCCGCGUGUGCGAUGAAGGCCUUCGGGUUGUAAAGCACUUUUGGCAGGAAAGAAAUCGUGUGGGUUAAUACCCUGCGCGGAUGACGGUACCUGCAGAAUAAGCACCGGCUAACUACGUG